GGGGGCUGGGGAGGGCGGGCAGGACCUCCCGACGCAAAGCACCGCCAGCACGCCGCGCGGAGAAGGUUCGAGCCCCCAGCGGUCCUGCGGCUGUUCUGGCAGAAGCCGAGCCACGGACCUCUGUGGUGAUCUUGGCUGACCCAGGUCAUCCACAAUUCCCAUCUUCAAGGCCCUUCACUUCAUCACGUCUGCUAAUCCGCCUCGCCGUGCGGGGUUACAUAGUCACAGGUUUCUGGGAUCAGGACAUGGACCUCUUCCGGGAGCAUUAUCUGGCCCACGACCUGGCAGCUCCAUGGAAUAGCAUGGGUCCACACCUGAUGCUCCGAAGGGGGAGUCCAGGGAAGCCCCCUCCUUGGUGCCAGCACUUGAGGCUGCAAUUCAACCCUGCCUUACUGUGAAAACCUGUCGUUAAAGAGAAAAGGAUCAAGAGUGUUUCCAGCAGGAAUUAUAUUUGGGGGUGCACAGCCAGCUCCCAUGGACGAAGGAGCAGCAGAGCGCAGAGGAGAAAGUGCUAACAUCGGUGGAUGGUGGAAGAGAAAAACAUGGCCAGCACCUCCCAGGCCCUAGCGGAAGGAAGGUCUUGGGCAAGGGUCUUCAGAGGGGGCUGAGAGCCAUAGAAGGGGCACUGGGUGCUUGAAAACCCACAGGCCACCUUGAGGCGACCAGGGGGAAGCACCUGCCCCAUGGAGGGGUUGGGCAGGCCCCAGCAGGUCCACUGGGCCAUCUUUGACACAGGCAACCAGGACCCAAGGCCACACACAGACACCAAGGGCAGCUGCAACAUUCUCGAGCCUCAAUCAAGUAAGCUCUGUCCCGCAGGCCUGCAGACCCAGCUUCCACUCUGCAAAAAACCCGGAGGCAGAGGAAGAAGCCACACCGCCCACAGAGGCCACCGGACACGUGCAGACGGUGGAGCCUCCUGCAGGACGCGAGGCCUGGGUACGUGCUACCUCUGUUGCGUAAGGAGCCACCACCAGCCUGGAAGCUGAAAGCAGCACCCACUUAUCACUUCCCGGCUCUGCAGGGUAGAAGUCGCGCACAGCUGAGCUCAGUUUCCUGCCGAGGGUCCCAUGAGGCUGAGAUGGAGGCGUCCGCAGGGCUGGGCUCAUCUGGAGCUCAGCAGGAAUCUGCUCCCAGGCUCUGAUCCCGCCCUCUGCAGAAUCCCCUCCUGCACUUGGGGGACAGGGCACCCCCUUUCUCUCGAGGGCUGCCUCCUGCUUUGGCACACACCCUCGUCUCCAAAGCAAGCAUGCAGCGCUCAGCUCCCUGUGCCUUCCAAGCACUUUGCCUCUUCCGCCACCGGCCAGAGGAAACACUGCUUUCAAAGGGCACGUGUGAGUAGACUGAGCCCACCUGGAUAACUGCCUUUUAAUUCAUUCAAAUUCAACUGAUCCACAAGCUUAAUUAAUUAAUCCUCGGUGCGUGCCUGUCUCCCAGUUUCUCCUUUGUAUAAGGAGGGGCCAUAGUCCUAUUAAAUUAACCUCAUUUCACCUU